UACGAAGGGGACUAGCGUUGUUCGGAAUCACUGGGCGUAAAGCGCACGUAGGCGGAUGUGUCAGUCAGGGGUGAAAUCCCGGGGCUCAACCUCGGAACUGCCUUUGAUACAGCACGUCUCGAGUCCGGAAGAGGUGGGUGGAAUUCCUAGUGUAGAGGUGAAAUUCGUAGAUAUCGGGAGGAACACCGGUGGCGAAGGCGGCGACCUGGGUAGAUACUGACGCUGAGGCGCGAAAGCGUGGGGAGCAAACAGG
rnacentral:rRNA from 1 species